UCAAGGGAGUCAUGAGGAGCAGAGCCUCCUAUCAAAUGGUAAAGGUGGAGAAGGGGUGAUCUAAUCCCAAUGGUGUCCCUGGGGUGUACCAUCUGCCUGUUGGCUGUGCUUUUCACAACACAUCUCCUUGUCUACUCUGAUGGCUUCAGAGCUGCUUUUCAAGCAACCACUAACAAAUGGCAGGGAAAAGGGGAAGGCAUGGAGGUGAUCAACAUGGCUGAGAGUGAGGACUCCCAACAGCUUGGGAAUACAGCAAUGAAGGACAUCUUGCUGGACGUGGUCAUCUCUCUGAACACUGCCAGUGUCGUGCUCUUUUUUUUAUGCGUGACAUAGAGCCAGAGGUCUUAGCAAUGGUAAUGGAUGAAGACAACCUGAACAUCUACUUCUGCUUCAUGAUUGCCUACUAAGCUGUGACCAUCACUCGGACCCAGGGACCUCAGUACCAACUAGGCAUGUCUCCACACCAUGGCCCCUGAAAGGAGCAAUAAACCUUUUAAUCAAAGUUUGUA